AUUGAACGCUGGCGGCAGGCUUAACACAUGCAAGUCGAGCGGGGGAAGGUAGCUUGCUACCGGACCUAGCGGCGGACGGGUGAGUACUGCUUAGGAAUCUGCCUAUUAGUGGGGGCCAACAUCUCGAAAGGGAUGCUAAUACCGCAUACGUCCUACGGGAGAAAGCAGGGGAUCUUCGGACCUUGCGCCAAUAGAUGAGCCUAAGUCGGAUUAGCUAGUUGGUGGGGUAAAGGCCUACCAAGGCGAUGAUCUGUAGCGGGUCUGAGAGGAUGAUCCGCCACACUGGGACUGAGACACGGCCCAGACUCCUACGGGAGGCAGCAGUGGGGAAUAUUGGACAAUGGGGGGAACCCUGAUCCAGCCAUGCCGCGUGUGUGAAGAAGGCCUUAUGGUUGUAAAGCACUUUAAGCGAGGAAGAGGCUACUUUAGUUAAUACCUAGAGAUAGUGGACGUUACUCGCAGAAUAAGCACCGGCUAACUCUGUGCCAGCCGCCGCCGUAA
rnacentral:rRNA from 1 species